GGGGGGGUGGGGGGACGGGGCUCCCGCCCGGGGAAGGGGUGGCCCCGCGGGGUGGGGCGGGGGAGGGCUCACGUACAUGGAGGUGGUGUCCCCGCAGUUGCCCCGGCAGUAGGCGAGGAGCACGGGCCGGGGGGAGCUGCAACCCUGCAGCCGGAGGACCUGGAGCUGGUGGUGCACCGUGCAGGCCGACCCUGGGGAGGGUCAGGGGGUGUGCAGAGGUCAGCCCUGGCCCGGGGCAGGCGGGAAUUCAUGUCCCUUCCCCGGCAGAGCAGCCCACUCACGGUUGGGUAGGGGGCAGAAGAGGCAGCAGCCGUCCUCGCUUGGCAGAGCCUUGUCCUGCGUGGACCACGGUGCCAUUAGUGGGGAGCGGGUACCAGGAGGGUGCAGCCAUGCCCCCCACCUGCUGAUCGUGGCCACCCACUCCUGUCCAGGGACUGAUUCUCCGUGGCUACUGUGGGUCCCCCAGGAAGGGCGGGCGGGCUGCUGGGACUCACCGCAGAACAGUUAAGCGGGGGACACGCCUUCUUCGUGGUCACCACCACGAGCCCAUCCUGGUGCCGCUCACACUCAUGUGAGAUGCAGUGGUCUCCGGGGUCUGACCAGGACUCGCCCGGCUGCAGGGAGUCCCAGCCGGCAGGUAAGCGGCCCUCCCCAGGGCCCCCUCCAGCUGGGGCGGGCGCUGUAUCUGUCCUUCAGCCCCCAGCCCACAGACUUCCAGAGCUCCCACGGCUCUGCCCAGAGGCCGCCUAGCUCUGACGGCUCCCCAGGGUCGCCAGUGCGCCAGGAUGCUACCCACCCUGCACCCCCACCGUCGCUGCGCACUCUGCCCUCUGUACAGGGCUGGGGUUCGCCCCGCCCAGAACACACCCCAAGGCCUUGCGGCCACUACUCACGUAGAAGAGGUGGACAGAGCUGUUGCUGGUGUUGAUGACGCAGGCCACCUGCACGCACUCACCGCAGCACUGCCCGGCCCGAGCCUGGCUGGAGGAGACCACGGCGCCGGGCUGCAGGAGUCAGGGGCAGCGUCAGCGGGACAGGCCUGGCCCUGCCAGGCAGACUCCUCCCCCGGGGAUCCCUCGGGAGUGCCCCCUGCCGGUCUUGGGGACAGAGUCCAAAGGCUGCGUCACAUGCCCUGGAGGGCCUGGCCAGGGGAAAGCUUGUCUGGGGAACUUGUCAAGUUCAGGACAAGAGCUUUGUGGUCCCAGGAGAGCCCACUGCUGCUCCGAAGCACCCCUUCCCCAGGCCCCGCAGGGGUGCAGCCUCAGCCAUGCAGAAGCUUGCGGGACGGGGACUCUGGUCCCUGCGUCCCAGGGUGGGCCUGACCUUCGCCGGUUCCUACCUGGUACAGGGUGCCAUUGAUGCUGCAGACGGUCCAGCCUGCUCGGGGGAGAAAGAAAAGCUGCAGACCCGCCUUCAGCCCCGAGAGCGGCUGCCACGCGCCUCGGCACAGCAGCGGGCCCCAGGUGGCAGCCCCGCUCCCCCCGCCUGGCCACCGCUGAGCCAGGGCACUCACUGCAGCUGUAGGCCGGGCAGCAGGCCGCCUCUCUGUAGGUCUGGAUGGCGUGCGAGCCUUUCGGGCAGGCCUCGGGCUCGGGGCAGUGUCUGAUGUCACAGGCUACAGUGGACANNNNNNNNNNNNNNNNNNNNNNNNNNNNNNNNNNNNNNNNNNNNNNNNNNNNNNNNNNNNNNNNNNNNNNNNNNNNNNNNNNNNNNNGUGGCGUCGGGCACGGGCACUUGGCCGGACGGCGGGGCAGGCGGGGGCCGGGGGGCAGGUCCGGGGCCGGCAGCUCAUGGUCUGCGUGCCGCCCUCACAGGUGCACUCCUGGCAGUCCACGCUGACCGUGUGGCCGGGCUGUCGGGGGAGGGACAAGGGAGCCCAUGGCCACGGCUGGAGGGGCAGAAACCCCCGGCUCGGGGCCUGCAGGGGGUCUCCAGAGGUGCGGGUGCGGCUGAGGCCCACGAGGGCCUGGAGGCAGGAGGCGGUCCUGCACGCUGUGGCUCGGGGAGGGGUCCCUGGGAAGACGGGGGCGCGCCGGCCCCAGGGCUGCACGUGGGGGUCCUGAGCCUUGCCAGGGAACUCCAGCCCCACUCUUGCCCGUCCUGUGAGUCUCCAGGGCUGAGAGAAGCCCCCAGCCCCCGAGGGCCCCACACUCACCUCCACAGGCUCCCCGCUGGGUCCCAGGCAAGCUGGAGGAAGAGAGACGAGAUCACUGCUGGGCCACCUUGGCCCCUAGCCCAUCACAGCCAGACCCAGUCUGGGGCCAGGGGACCCCAGGUCAAGGUGGAAAGCCCUGGGGUCCGGCUGAAAAGCCAGGGGCAGUGCCUGGAAGCCUGGAGCCCAGCCUGGGGACCCCAGCCCGGGAACCUACCAUUGCAGUCAGUGGGCACGCAGACCUCCUUGCUCGAGCUGUACAGCAUUGUGCCCUGUGGGCAGAAGCAGCCUUCCGUGAUGGGACUGGGUUCUAGGAGGGCCCUGAGGGGGGCGGGAGCAGAGGGGGAGCGGGCCGCGCCCUCCAGGCCGAGGACACACGCGCGCGCAGGGCGGGGGCGCCAUAGGGCG
ensembl:lincRNA